UAUGUAUUUUAGUGCUAGAAUUGGUAUGCAAUUGACAAAAUAGCAGAAGGAAUUGUGAUGUAUUUUAAAUACCCAUGCAGGAACACUGCCAUUCGGUUAGUUAGGGAGGUAGAAGCAAUCAGAGGGAGUAUCUUUGCAUCUGCUUCUUGUGAACAGAUGAGCUAUACUUAUGAUGCACCGAAGUGUUAUGCACCAGGAAUGGUUGAAGUUCUCAUUGAUAGUGUGCAGAACUCAGCAUUUUUAGAAUGAGAGGUCAAGGAGCAGAAGAUAAAAGUCUGGACUAUCUGAAGUUUCUGGUGAUCCACAAAGUCUACUUAUGGAGGCACUUCAUUCGGCUGGAUAUUCUGGGGCGUUGGCAAAACCUUCACUGGCUUAGCUUUCGGGUGACUGAAUUAUUAUUCGCAUGGUCUGUCUAAUAUGAUAUCUUCUGAUGAGAGACCUUUUGCACUCGAUGGAAAAAGGAAGUCCAUUGCCAAAGUUUGGGGAAUGGGAUGUCAAUGAUCCUGCUUCAGCUGAGGGAUUUACUGUAAUGUUUAACAAAGCUAGAGAUGAGAAGAAGACCAGUGGCAAUUCACAGGGACAAGAUCUGCCCGCAAAAAGUGAACAGCCAUCUGGACAAGGCUUGUAUCUAGCAAAGCCAAACAGUUCUGAAGCAUGCUGGAAUGUAACUGGACUACAUACUCCAAACAGAAAAACACUACUUCACUUCAUCUGCCGAAAGAAAUUGAUCAUCCAGUUCACAUGACAUGAUGUAGGAAUAAAAUGUUUAUGCAUUUUGUUUAUUCUGUUAUAUUGUAAUACAAUUAUAAUAAAGUACCAUCUUUGGACAUGACAUAAGUAAUACACAAUUUUAUUUAAUAAA